rnacentral:rRNA from 1 species
GUCCACGCUGUAAACGAUGAGUGCUAGACGUUGGGGUUCCCGUUCCAGUGUCGCAGCUAACGCAUUAAGCACUCCGCCUGGGGAGGUACGGUCGCAAGAUUAAACUACAAGGAAUUGACGGGGCCCGGCACAAGCGGUGGAGCAUGUGGUUUAAUUCGAAGCAACGCGCAGAACCUUACCAGCUCUUGACAUGGGGAUUAUGGAGAGGAGAGAUUCUUUCCUUCAGUUCGGCUGGAUCCCCGCACAGGUGCUGCAUGGCUGUCGU